UGGAAGAAGCAUCGAGAUCCGUUUAUCAAUAUUUUAUAUUAACAUUAUUAAUAUAUCAGUCUGAUGAUAACAAGCCUCCGAGGACCUGAAUCAAUACUUACAGGGUUUCAGGGAAGAGGAGGAUACAAGUCUAGAGUCUAAAAGCCUAGAGUCUACUGGUUCUGAGUCUACACUUCUGUCUAGAGCCUACAAGUAUAAGACCUACAAGUCUGGAGCCUACAAGUCUAGAGCCUACAAGUAUAAGACCUACAAGUCUGGAGCCUACAGGUCUAGAGCCUACAAGUCUAGGACCUAAAAAUCUAACACCUACAAGUCCAAGACCUACAAAUAUAGAGCCUACAAGUCUAGAGCCUACAAAUCUAGAGCCUACAAGUAUAGAACCUACAAGUCUAGAGCCUACAAGAAUAGAGCCUACAAUCUAGAGCCUACAAGUCUAGAACCUACAAGGCUAGAGUCUACAAGUCUAGAGCCUACAAGUCUAGACCCUACAAAUCUAGAGCCUACAAGACUAGAGCCUACAAGUCUAGAGCCUACAA
ensembl:lncRNA